rnacentral:rRNA from 1 species
UACGGAGGGUGCAAGCAUUAAUCGGAUUUAUUGGGCGUAAAGGGCGCGUAGGCGGGAAAGAAAGUUAGAUGUGAAAGCCUGAGGCUUAACUUCAGAACAGCAUCUAAAACUCCUUUUCUAGAGGAUGAGCGGGGAAAAUGGAAUUCCACAUGUAGCGGUGAAAUGCGUAGAUAUGUGGAGGAACACCGGUGGCGAAGGCGAUUUUCUAGCUUAGACCUGACGCUGAGGCGCGAAAGCAAGGGGAGCAAACAGG